GCCCCCUCACCCGUGGGCCGGUUGGAGCAAGAGCUCGACGGCCACCACUCUGACACUGCCCGCUUCCCUCCGGCGAAGUCCCCAUGGCGGCGCCGCCCGCCGCCGCCUCGGCCUGCUCCGGCGAGCGGUGGCCUCCACUAGAGUCCAGCCCGGAGGUAUUCAACCAGUUCAUGUGGUCGCUGGGUGUGCCGCAGGGCGAGGCAGAGGUCCACGACGUAUACGGUCUAGAUUCUGACGCCCUGGCGAUGGUUCCCCAGCCCGUGCUCGCCGUCAUCUUCUGCUUCCCCGAUCCGCCUGAGAGUUCAAGUCAUCCUCCAGAGGGAGUCUUACCCACUGAACAUAAGCAGGAAGCUUCGGAUGAUAUGUAUUUCAUAAAACAGAUCGAAUCAUUAGGAAAUGCUUGUGGAACUAUCGCUCUACUUCAUGCUGUUGGAAAUGCAUGUUCAGAAAAUUUAUUGGAUAAUUCAUGCUUCGACUUGUUCUUCAAAUCAACAGCCAGCAUGGACCCAUAUGAGCGUGCGAGAGUUUUUGAAAAGGACGAUGACAUUGCAAGAGCCCACUCAUUGGCUGCCAGUGCUGGUGACACAGAGCUCCCUGACGAUGUAGAAGAGCAUUAUAUCUGUUUCGUGGCUCUUAAUGGAACACUUUAUGAGCUUGACGGGAUGAAGGGUGGACCAAUAAAGCAUGGUUCCACAUCUCCGGAAAGUUUACUGCAGGAUGCCGUGCAUAUCAUUAAGGACAUAAUGCACAAGAUUCCCAAUUCGAUGAACUUCAAUGUCAUGGUGCUAUCAAGAACAACGAAGUAAAGCUGGACUGAAUACGUUAGAUGGAACGUAGAUCAUCUGUUUCAGCACUCAACACCAGCUUCCUACUCUUCCACAGGAGCUUAUGCUUGGCACUUCUAUGGAAUAAUUUCCAUGCCCUUUAGAGAGUUCUCUUAACGAAAGCUACCGGAGCUUUUGCUGAGACUUUAGCCACUAGAUGUCCAGAUCACUAACCAGUGGGUCUUUUGGCAAAUACAUGAGAAGCCCAAGGUGACGUGGACAAGUGGGGCGAAUCAAGUUGCACCUGGAGGCGGCAGGCGAACGAAUAAUUUCUAUGCCAUUUAGAGAGUUCUCUUAACGGAAGCUACUGGAGCUGCCGCUGAGACUUUCGCCACUAGAUGUCCAGAUGACUAACCAGUGGGUCUUUUGGCAACUACCUGAGAAGCUCACGGUGACGUGGACAAGUGGAGCGAAUCAAGUUGCACCUGGAGGCGGCGAACGUGUGUAAAACUACUUCCUAGGAUAAUGCUAUCUUGUGUUCCGCUUCCACAUGGGCAGAUCGAUCAUAAGAGGAAUGAUUCUCAGCUUAAUCAUGGAAACCUAAUCAGUAGUACAGCCAGUGGCAGUCUCCGACUCUUCUAGCAAAAUCUACCGGAGCUUUCUCCUGAAUUUUCAGCUAGUAGACCCACAAGUGGUGCUGUUUUGGCAACAAACUGGCAAGCUCACACUUAUGUCUGACAAGUGAUAUUCAGUACUCCACUACUGAAAACAAGUUGCACCUGGAGGCGGGGAACGUGUGGAAAACUACUUCAUAGGAUAAUGCUAUUUUGUGUUCGGCUUCCGCAUGGGAAGAUUGAUUACAAGAUUAAUGAUUCUCAUCCUGAUCAUGGAAUUCUAAUCAGUCCAGCCAUAUA